rnacentral:lncRNA from 1 species
GGGUAUAUCUCAAAGAGGUAAAUGUAAUUGUGUGCAGGGUGCACCUAAAUGAGGUGAAUGCAAUUGUGCAGGGUGCAUCUUAAAGAGGUAAAUGUAAUUGCGAAUGUGUGUAGGUAUAUCUGUUAGAGGUAUCUGUAAUUGUGAGUGAAUAUGUACAUUAGGAGCUAAAUGUGCGAGUGUAUGUAGGAUAUGUCUGUAAGCGGUAAAUGUGAGUGUGAUGCAUGUAGGAUACAUUAGGAGAUAAAUGUGAGUGAGCACAGGAUACAUCUCUAAGAGGUAAAUGUCAAUGUGUGUAGGGUACAGCAAGAGAUAAAUGUGAGUAUGAGCAGAAUACAUUGCUCAGAGGUAAAUGUGAGUGUAUGCAGGAUACAUCAAGAGAUAAAUGUAGUUGUGAGUAUGAGCAGGAUACGUCUCUAAGAGGUAAAUGUGAGUGCAGGGUUUGCCUUAGCUGAGGGAUGGAGAAGGGAUUGUUUGAGGAGUGGAACUGAAGACUGCUUGGGUUUAGAGACUCAUGCAUAUCAUAAUAAAGGAGCUUAGAACAGAAUUUAGAGCAGGAGAUUUAACAAAGCUUUAACAGGUACAAAAGCCCAGAGUUCCGAGUGGGAAGCGUUAAGCAGGGUCAGGCAGGGGGGUGUGCCGGGGUGCGGUGCCCGGGCCGGGGUUCUGUGUCAGUGUCAGGAUGCAGUGCCAGGGCCGGGGGUGUAGUGCCAGUGUCAGGGGAUGGUGCCAGUGCCGGCAGUGCUCAGUGCGGUCCCUGCAGGUGGAGGAGCUGGCGCUGCAGUCCAUGAUCAGGGCCGGCGAGGAGAACGUCUCCGUGCCCCUGCCAGCCCUGGCCGAGGACACUCAGCAGACUCUUGGGCAGAUGGACAAUGAGGCUGCCAUCAAUCAAACUGAGUUACACCUCAGUCUUCGGGAUGAUAAAGAGGAGGAGGAGGAAGAGGAGGAGGAAUCUGAUUCUUGAGAGAUCAGAGAUGGUUUUUAAUACAGACUCAGGAAUUUCUUCUUCAUUCAUCUGAAACUCACCAAGUGAUUUCCAUGUUGUGCUGUGUGGGUAUGAACUGUUUGACAUGUCAGAGUCGAGGGCAGUGACACUGAACACAGGAACUUCCCAGGCUGGGCACAUCUUGACUCAGAUGUCGAAAGAAUGAAAAUCUGCUGCACAAAUAUGUAGCAUAAUCCAUUCCACAUUUGAACCUAAUGUAGCUCUUACAACAUCUCUGUAUGUGGAAGGGAGAAGCAAUUGAUCAACCAGACCAAUUAACACAUGCACUAAAAGCAAUAACUUGCCUGUUCUCACUUCCUGAUGUGAGAAACAAAUCCAGGUCCUGGAGCUGCUGCUGCCCCAGUGACAACAUCGUAACCUCAUUUGCCUAAACUGGCAGUUUAAGAUACAGAAAAUGAGAAAAAGAUGUGUCCAGGGCUGUGUGCAGCCUGCAGCUGCUGUGUUCUCAGUUCAUGGAGUUACUCCCAGAGGCCUCCCAGUGUCAGCCCCGUUCUGGGCACAGCAGGGAGGUCUCUCUGUCCCCCUGGUGCUCUUCAGCUCUGUCCGUCUGUCCCAGAGCAGGACUUUCUACUUCUGCUCCUUCAGAGCAGCAGCAAGGAGCCUUUUAUUUGUCCACAAGUUGUAGACUAAGAAAUGAUCCGUGGUGCUUGGACUAAACUAAUACUCUUAAAUUGCUGUUAUUUUAUUUUUCUCUCAUUGUAACCUCACAAAUCAAGGCCAGGUUGUCUGAUUUCAUGUGAUUCUCAAGGAGGAGCAUGAGGACUUUAAGAACUUAGUUAUAAAUGGAAAGUGAUGUGAAAUCUCCACAAUUCUUGCAUUUGGAAAAGUGUCUGGUGUCCUGGGGGUGGUCAGAACUGACAUUCAGCUUCCAGUGAAUUCCUGCCACUGUUUAAUGAGUGUUAAUUUGGCUCUUGUUUGGUUUGUACCAAUGGAAACUGUUGGGAUGUAAAUGUGGCUUUAUCCUGUACUAAAGACUAUUUGGGGUUUGAGGAUCCUGAAUGUCUUAAUGAAGGAAUUUAGAACAGGAGUGAAGAGAUUGUUUAACAAAGCUUUCCCAAGCAUGACAGGUAAAAAAUCCCUGAAGUCUGAGCCAAAACUGCUGUGGUCAAAUAAACCCUUGCAGUGAUGUGUGUGAAGAGCCA